rnacentral:rRNA from 1 species
GUGAGGAAUUUUCCGCAAUGGGCGAAAGCCUGACGGAGCAAUGCCGCGUGAAGGAUGAAGGCCUAUGGGUUGUAAACUUCUUUUCUUAGAGAAGAAUAUUGACGGUAUCUGAGGAAUAAGCAUCGGCUAACUCUGUGCCAGCAGCCGCGGUAAGACAGAGGAUGCAAGCGUUAUCCGGAAUGAUUGGGCGUAAAGCGUCUGUAGGUGGCUUCAAAAGUCUCCUGUCAAAGAUCAUGGCUUAACCCUGGGCCGGCAGGCGAAACUCUGAGGCUAGAGUUUGGUAGGGGCAGAGGGAAUUCCCGGUGGAGCGGUGAAAUGCGUAGAGAUCGGGAGGAACACCAAAGGCGAAAGCACUCUGCUGGGCCACAACUGACACUGAGAGACGAAAGCGAGGGGAGCAAAAGGGAUUAGAAACCCCGGUAGUCC